GACGAACGCUGGCGGCGUGCUUAACACAUGCAAGUCGAACGGAAAGGCCCUGCUUUUGUGGUGUGCUCGAGUGGCGAACGGGUGAGUAACACGUGAGUAACCUGCCCUUGUCUUUCGGAUAACUUCAGGAAACUGGGGCUAAUCCCGGAUAGGAGCUCCUGCUGCAUGGUGGGGGUUGGAAAGUUUCGGCGGUUGGGGAUGGACUCGCGGCUUAUCAGCUUGUUGGUGGGGUAGUGGCUUACCAAGGCUUUGACGGGUAGCCGGCCUGAGAGGGUGACCGGCCACAUUGGGACUGAGAUACGGCCCAGACUCCUACGGGAGGCAGCAGUGGGGAAUAUUGCACAAUGGGCGGAAGCCUGAUGCAGCAACGCCGCGUGCGGGAUGACGGCCUUCGGGGUGUAAACCGCUUUCGCCUGUGACGAAGCGGGAGUGACGGUAAUGGGUAAAGAAGCACCGGCUAACUACGUG
rnacentral:rRNA from 1 species